GGAUGAAUAUUGGGCAAUGGGCGGAAGCCUGACCCAGCAACGCCGCGUGGAGGAUGAAGGCCUUCGGGUCGUAAACUCCUUUUUUGGGGGAAGAGUGAGGACGGUACCCUGAGAAUAAGUCACGGCUAACUACGUGCCAGCAGCCGCGGUAAUACGUAGGUGACAAGCGUUAUCCGGAAUUACUGGGCGUAAAGCGCACGCAGGCGGCUUUUUAAGUCUGACGUAAAAUCUCCCGGCUUAACUGGGAGGG
rnacentral:rRNA from 1 species